rnacentral:rRNA from 1 species
UACAGAGACUGCAAGCGUUAUUCGGAUUCACUGGGCGUAAAGGGUGUGUAGGUGGCGCCGUAAGUCGGGUGUGAAAUUUCGGAGCUUAACUCCGAAACUGCAUUCGAUACUGCGGUGCUUGAGGACUGGAGAGGAGACUGGAAUUCAUGGUGUAGCAGUGAAAUGCGUAGAGAUCAUGAGGAAGACCAGUGGCGAAGGCGGGUCUCUGGACAGUUCCUGACACUGAGACACGAAGGCCAGGGGAGCAAACGGG